rnacentral:rRNA from 1 species
CACUCCUGCGGGAGGCAGCAGUAGGGAAUCUUCCACAAUGGGUGCAAACCUGAUGGAGCAAUGCCGCGUGAGUGAAGAAGGUCUUCGGAUCGUAAAGCUCUGUUGUUAGAGAAGAACACGUGCUAGGUAACUACUAGCGCCUUGACGGUAUCUAACCAGAAAGUCACGGCUAACUACGUGCCAGCAGCCGCGGUAAUACGUAGGUGACAAGCGUUGUCCGGAUUUAUUGGGCGUAAAGGGAGCGCAGGCGGUCUGUUUAGUCUAAUGUGAAAGCCCACGGCUUAACCGUGGAACGGCAUUGGAAACUGACAGACUUGAAUGUAGAAGAGGAAAAUGGAAUUCCAAGUGUAGCGGUGGAAUGCGUAGAUAUUUGGAGGAACACCAGUGGCGAAGGCGAUUUUCUGGUCUAACAUUGACGCUGAGGCUCGAAAGCGUGGGGAGCGAACAGGAUUAGAAACCCCAGUAGUCCCAUGA